ACAUUUUGCCUGCCCUUUUUGUGUGUUUUUAUGUGUACAUACCACGUUACCUUGCGCGUUACCGCAGUCGAUAUUCACGAGUGGGCCUUACGUGGGUAAAAAACAUAUGUACAUAAAAAAAAAUUUGCCAACACCAGUGCUGCUGCUUGGCCAGUCGACGGAUAGAACUGUUGCCGAAACAAACGAUUCCCCUUUCGUUCGUGAUCCGGCUGCUGUAAUUGUGAAUCAAUUUUAAGCGUAAGGUCACAGAGCAGAGUUGCUGGCCAGCAGACCAACCGUCUUCGUUCAGCUUCUCUGUAAACGGUUGAAGAUCUCCUGUUUGCCACCAAAGAGUGUCGUAUGGCACCGUCCGAUUUUACUAACAACCAUGAACAGCAGCAACAAGAUGACUAUGUAUCUGUUACUUCCAAUAAGUACAGGAAACUACAACAAGCAUGGUUGGGCAGUAGUAAAUUAAAAAAAAAACUCAUCUGCUGUCUAGCGCUACUGUCUUUUCUUGGAUUAAUGUCAUUUCUGUGUUUUAUUUAUAUCACUGUGAUGCUUUGGGACAUUUACCAUGGUCCAUAGUUUACAUUGGUCGUGUAAACAAUAAUGGUGAUUCCGUUUUUGACAGGUAUGAAUGAUGUCCGUUUAUGGAAUGCGUCGAGAAUACGAAACAUGACAAAACACAGUUAAUAAUUGAAUUUUGAUGGAUUCACUGGACGAACACGGACUCGAGCCGGUGUACAAGAAGGAAGUUUUCGGACUUUACCACCGUCACAGACACGAACGGAACUACAUUCAAAAUGGCUAAGACUUUGGCUCUGGUCCAUCGAUACCUCAGCGCCGAUUUCCUAGUGCAGUUGUCCUUAGAACCGGAUCCUUUCGACAAGACAUCCGCCGUAUACGUUUUGUGUCAUAACACCAACUUCAAGUUCAGCGAUUUGCAAGUGAACGACGAUUACAGCCCCAACAUAACAUACGAGUGAUCGGUUCGUUGAAAAACAAUUAUGACUUUGCAAACGUCUGGAAGUGUCCGGCCAAGAGUCCAAUGAAUCCAAGCAAUAAAUGCGUCAUGUGGUGAACAGAAAUAAUAAUAAUAUUAUAAACCUUUGUGAUUUUGUAUAAAUAAA